rnacentral:rRNA from 1 species
CCACAAAAGCGGAGGAAAAGAAACUAACAAGGAUUCCCCUAGUAACUGCGAGUGAAGCGGGAAAAGCUCAAAUUUAAAAUCUGGUGGUCUUUGGCCAUCCGAAUUGUAAUCUAGAGAAGUGUUAUCCGCGCUGGACCGUGUACAAGUCUCCUGGAAUGGAGCGUCAUAGAGGGUGAGAAUCCCGUCUUUGACACGGACUACCAGGGCUUUGUGAUACACUCUCAACGAGUCGAGUUGUUUGGGAAUGCAGCUCAAAAUGGGUGGUAAAUUCCAUCUAAAGCUAAAUAUUGGCGAGAGACCGAUAGCGAACAAGUACCGUGAGGGAAAGAUGAAAAGAACUUUGGAAAGAGAGUUAAACAGUACGUGAAAUUGUUGAAAGGGAAACGCUUGAAGUCAGUCGCGUCUUUCAGAAAUCAACCUUACUUUUGUAUGGUGUACUUUCUGAUAGAUGGGUCAGCAUCAGUUUUGGUUGCUGGAUAAAGGUUAGAGAAAUGUGGCAUCUUCGGGUGUGUUAUAGUCUCUAAUCAUAUACAGUGGCUGGGACUGAGGAACUCAGCACGCCGUAAGGCCGGGGCUUUUGCUCACGUUCGUGCUUAGGAUGCUGGCAAAAUGGCUUUAAUCGACCCGUCUUGAAACACGGCCAAAGGGAGUCA